rnacentral:rRNA from 1 species
UACGUAGGGGGCAAGCGUUGUCCGGAAUUAUUGGGCGUAAAGAGCGCGUAGGCGGUCCGGUAAGUCGGUUGUGAAAGUCGGGGGCUCAACCCUCGGAUGCCGAUCGAUACUGUCGGGCUAGAGUCCGGAAGAGGCGAGUGGAAUUCCUGGUGUAGCGGUGAAAUGCGCAGAUAUCAGGAGGAACACCAAUGGCGAAGGCAGCCUCCUGGGCCGAGCACUGACGCUCAUGACACGAAAGCCGUGGGGAGCAAACAGG